rnacentral:pre_miRNA from 1 species
CUUAUUUGAAACCCUGGGUUUUCAUGUCCAGUUUGUCCAUCUGUCUUAUUUAAAAAACAUAUGAAAAAAAUUAAAAAGAUGAGUCACGCAUAAAGUAUUAAUCAUGUUUUAUCAUCUAACAACAAUGAAAAUACUAAUUAUAAAAAAAUUUCAUAUAAGACGGACAGUCAAACGUUGGACACGGAAAUCCAGGGUU